rnacentral:rRNA from 1 species
UUCCUACGGGGCGCAGCAGUGAGGAAUAUUGGUCAAUGGGCGCGAGCCUGAACCAGCCAAGUCGCGUGAGGGAUGACGGCCCUACGGGUUGUAAACCUCUUUUGUCGGGGAGCAAAUUCCGUUACGUGUAACGGAGUCGAGAGUACCCGAAGAAAAAGCAUCGGCUAACUCCGUGCCAGCAGCCGCGGUAAUACGGAGGAUGCGAGCGUUAUCCGGAUUUAUUGGGUUUAAAGGGUGCGCAGGCGGUCUGUUAAGUCAGCGGUCAAAGCCCGGGGCUCAACCCCGGCCCGCCGUUGAAACUGGCA